rnacentral:lncRNA from 1 species
UUUUUUGAAAAAAAAAUAUUAAGAAAAUGAAAAAAGUAUAGUGAUAAACAAUUAUAAAUAUAAUAGGAAAAGUGACAUUAUUUGGGACAACUUAUUUUUCAAAACGACUUAUAAGUCGGGACGGACGAAGUAAUUAAUAUUAACAAAAUAAUGAUUUGAAGGCUAUAAAUUGGCUUUCAUCUUCAACAAAUUCUUUCAUUCUUCACUUCCCUACAAUUGGUUUGCAGUUUAUGCGGGGAUCCUACGACGGUCAUCAAAGAUUAUUUCAUUUCCAUCAUUUAAGAUUAUUUGAUGCAUUAUUUCAUUUCCAUCAUUUAAGAUUACAAAGUCAUAAAUUCAAGUUCCUUGAACUUAGGAAAAACAAAAGAAGAAAAUAAUAAUUAUUGCCUGCAUGCCCAAAAAUUAAAUGAUAACAAGUGGGAUAUUCUAGAAAAAGGUAAAUUGUACAUUUCUCUUGCUAGAUAAAGAACUCAUUCAUCUCAUCAGGAUGUUUUAGAUCGGUACACAAUUGCCUUUACGACACCUAACAUUAACUCUUCCAAAUUUUGGACAAUCUUUAUCUGUUUUACAAGCACUAUUAAAAAUCUGACUAAAAGAAGAAUUAGAUACUGUUAUGCAAAGAAAUAUAGAAAGAAAUAAAAUUAUAAAAUAAACUAACUUCGGAGUUUCAACCAUAUUUUUUCCUAUUUGCAUCCAAAUAAUAGUAAUGACUUGAUCUUUUUAUAGUGUAUAGUAAAAAUUCAUGGUCUUAGAGAAAUAAUUAAAUAGUUUAAGCAUUAUAAAAUUUUAAAAGCCCUUCAGAAUUUUAGAAUUAUUACUAAAUGUCUCUUAAAUAUAUCAAUGUGUUAUUUUUGUUCCUUUAGCACACUUAGGAAAGACUUCAUGUAAUAAAAAUAGUAAUCAAUAUAAUUGAAUACAAUUUUACAAACUUUAGAUUACUUUUUCCUGUAAAUAAUUG